AGCUCCAAUAGCGUAUAUUAAAGUUGCUGCAGUUAAAAAGCUCGUAGUUGCAUUUCCGAGGCAAGGGAUUAGUCCGACCUUUGGUGGGUAUUUAAUCCUCUUGCCUCGUCCUUGAGUGGUGCUUCUUGGUAUUAAGUUAUCGAGGAGAUAGCCGCUCAUCGUUUACUGUGAGAAAAUUAGAGUGUUCAAAGCAGGCUUAUGCCGUUGAAUAUAUUAGCAUGGAAUAAUAAGAUAGGACCUCGGUACUAUUUUGUUGGUUUGAGAACCAAGGUAAUGAUGAAUAGGGACAGUUGGGGGUAUUCGUAUUCAGUUGUCAGAGGUGAAAUUCUUAGAUUGACGGAAGACGAACUACUGCGAAAGCAUUUACCAAGGAUGUUUGCA
rnacentral:rRNA from 1 species